AACCCAUGCAUGUUUUUGACAUUUGAAAAAUGGACUGCUCAGUAAUACUCACUUUAUUUUAUGUAAAUUUUUAAUUAACUACGUUAAAGUGUAGAUAAGAUGUUUACAGUAAGAGUGAGACCUAUCAGCUAGUUGUUAAGGUAAUGGCUUAACAAGGCUGUGACGGGUAACGGUAUUACUUUGUAAUAUUCCGGAGAAGGAGCCUGAGAGACGGCUACUAAGUCUAAGGAUUGCAGCAGGGGCGAAACUUGACCUAUGGAUUUUAUCUGAGGCAGUUAUGGGAAGUAAUAUUAUAUUGUUUCAUAUUUUAAAAGUAUAUGAGGUGAUUAAUUGGAGGGCAAAUCAAGUGCCAGCAGCCGCGGUAAUACUUGUUCCAAGAGUGUGUAUGAUGAUUGAUGCAGUUAAAAAGUCCGUAGUUUAUUUU
rnacentral:rRNA from 1 species